rnacentral:piRNA from 1 species
UGGUUGCGUUGACGCUGUAUGUGCAGU